CAAAUAAUGAUGCACUGUUGAUUAAGUACAACUAUUUAUAUUACCACUUGAAAUUUGAAAAAAGCUUUGAACAUUUUUCGUAUUAUUUCUUUAGAUACAAUGAAAAUGAAGGUGCUUUUCGUUUGUCUGGUUGCUUUACUGUUCAUCAAUUACAGUGAGGCUUUGUGGUGUUAUGCAUGUGUUGGAAAAGGUUGUUCACCCAGACGAGAGGAAUGUGGCUCUCUUUUGCAAAAUCCCGUCUGUGCCAUCGUAGAUGCCCCCCACAUUUAUAUGAAAGGAUGCAUGAGUGAGUACAUCUGUAGGGGGCAACAGCAGGCUCCUGGUACCACCGCUGUCUGCUGCAGUACCAGCUACUGUAACUAAUAAGGAGGACAUCAGCCAUGGAGUUGUCUCUUUCUGACCCUCACUAGCCAAGGAUAUAAAUUAAAGUAAUUAUUUAUAUUUCAGGCAUGUGAUGUUUUAAUUUGAGAAUGGGGGAUAAUACCAAUUAAAUAAAAGAAUUAACUGCAA